rnacentral:rRNA from 1 species
UUUAUGACUCUCGGCAACGGAUAUCUUGGCUCCCGUAUCGAUGAAGAACGUAGCGAAAUGCGAUACUUGAUGUGAAUUGCAGAAUCCCGUGAAUCAUCGAGUUUUUGAACGCAAGUUGCGCCCGAUGUCAUUCGGCAAAGGGCACGCCUGCCUGGGCGUCACGUCUUGCGUCGCUCGGUGCCAACUACUCCU